GUUCUUAAUAUUGGACAAAGACCAGAACAUCAGAAUUGUGUGUUUUUUAAAUUUUUUUUAUCUGUUAAAUUAUAAAGGUACUAUGUGGAAAACAAAAUGAAAAGAAUACAGUGUAGCUCAUAGAGAAAGAUUUAAGAUGAAAAGUAAACACCUUCUUUGUAUUAUUUUGCUAAUUUUUUUGGAUUGUACUAGAGCAUACCAUAUUCUAACAAUAUAUCUUGAAUAGUUUUUCUUUAAUCAAAUUUAAUUGUAUAAACCUAACAUUUUGUUUCUAUUACAUGGUAUGCAUUGUAUGUCUAUGUAAUAAUUUAGUCAAAUUCUCUAGUGUUGGACCUUUGAGUUGUCUAUAGUUCUUCAAUAAUUAAAAAAAAAGCUGUACUGACUGAACAGUCUUGAGCAUGAAGCAAUUUUAUGUGUUAAAGCAUACAUUUAUAGAUAAGGAAUUCUAGGAUCCAGUAUAUCUAGAAUUUAUAUAUGUAUCUUUUAAAAAUGUAUACACUCAUAACAUAUAUAAUGAUGAAUGACUAAAAUAUAUAUUUAUGAUACAUAUUAUGUAUCAAUAUAUUUUAACAUAUGCUAGAUGUAUAUUACUUUUCCCUGAGGAGAUUUAAAACAAAAAUCACAACCUCUAAACUCCAGCAUAAAGUAGCUACUAGAUCAGAAUCUCCUGAUCCGAAUAUAAUUUUUUUCUUUUAAAGCCAAACAGUUUAUUCUGAAUCACAGCUUAGUUUAAUUCUCCAUCCCAUAGGGUUGCCAGCCAAAAACAUAAAAAUCUGUUUCCAUUCUAUAAUCAAUGUAAAAAUCAUAAAGAAUACAUCUAUUUUUGCUAAUAUUUGAUACAGUAGAGAGGUCAGUAUGAAAUCUUGUGUCUUACACAUUGCUCCUGAAAAACCAGCAGUACAAUUCAGCAAAAAUAGUAGGUUUCUGCUUCACAGGAUAGGCAUUUUUUAGUGACUAGCACUUACUGGAAGGAUUAGGUAUCCUCUCAAGCAGAACACUCAUUGUCAUUACUGCAGGUGGAAAUUUCAGAGUUGAAUAUGAGAAGAACUGUGUUAAAACUAUAGGGAAGAAUUUUCAUAAAAUUUUCCAAGUCUGUAGAAUUUAUGUUCAUUAUUUUUAUUAUUAUUACUCUCAGUAAUUUUGUGCAGAUAUUAAUAUUUCUUAACAGUUCUGGGAUCUUGAGCAGGAAUGUAGUUUUCUGGAUGCUUUUAUGACCACCUGUGGUCUUUCAGAGCACUAUUCCUAGAAAAUAAAAAUGUAAGAAAGAACUGAGAUGCUUCAGCCUUUCUGAACAGUUUACUGCUCCCUUUACACUUUUAGAAAAUGCAUUGCUUGGAUAAGAUCUCUUCUAAAAAGCCUUAAGGGGUAUCAAGAAGUCACCACUCUGAACCUUUCCUUAUUAAAAAAUAUGUAGAAACCAGAUUUGUCACAAGACAGUGCUCUUGGUUAUCGGGAAGCUAUUAUACUUGCAUAGAAUAAUUAAACUGCUAGCUAUGAACUUAUUGAAUACUUCAAAGGAAAAAAAUAUUUUGUAGAAAAAUAUUGCACAAGGCUUAGCCUAAUCCAUGUUACUGCCGUAUUCAGUUUUUCAUUCCCAAAAUAUUGCUACAUUUUAGAGCAACAUUCUGAUUUUAACAGCAAUUGCAUUUAAAUAAAAACAUUUGUGCACAUUCUAAAUGAACACUUUCAUAUACCCUAUUAUAGUAAUAUAUUUAAUUUAGAGAAGAACAAAAUGUUGGGGGUGGAAUAUUGGUACAAAGGGAAAAUAACUCUCAUUUGAGAAAAUAAAGCCUAGAUUAUGUUAUGUUUCACUGUCCAAAGUGAGGACACACAUUCAAGGAUUUAUGGUGAGGAACAUAAAUUUCAAGAGAAACAGUGUGGUACUUACUAAAUUUUUCACUACUUGACCAUUUGGUUUGUUACCUUGACUGAGGCUAAGUGGCCAGCUACUAUGUUUCUUUGCUACUUUGUCCAGGUUUAAGCUUCUUAGCACAGAAACAUAUUUCAUGUUCAAAUACUACAAUUUAUUAGACAGGUUAAUCUGGGACAAGCCAUGUAAUCUUUCUGUAGGUCAACUUCAUUGUCUGUGAAUUGGUUAAAAUUAUGGCAAUUCUCUCACAAGACUACCAGGAGGGUUAAUUAUUAUUGGACAUGCAAGUCUGUUAUUAGACUUGGCACAGUGUUUAAUGUACAGGAAACGUUCACCACUAUCCUCAUCAAUUGGAUGAAUCUCUGGGUCCAUUGUGGUUAGUUAGCCCUAAGAGAAUAGUCUGCAGUCCUGUGCUUUGAAAAGCUUCUGCAAAUAAAGAAAACAUAAAAGGGAAAAGCAAAAAGGAAGAAGAGGUAUUUCUGGGUGUACACUCUGUUCUAAACACUCUGCUAAAUACUUGAUAAACAUUAGUUCAUUUAAUCUUCCCCCCAGUCUUUACAAGGUCAAGAAAAUAAGGCUUAAAACAUUUAUUAUUUGCCAAGGUUCACAAAGUUAGCAGGAUAUGGAGCAAGUAAUUGAAACUUAGUCUGGCUGCAAGGUUAGUAGGAAAGACUCAGUACUCCCUUACAUGCCAUUGACUUCAUCCUUCUCCAACCCAGUGCAAUACCAUCUCUAAUUCAUAAAGGUAUACACACACACACACACAUAUUGGCCACGAUGAUGGGAUACCCAGUGUAAUUUAUAAUUACCCCAAGGACUAAAAAAAUUAGCCUGUUUCAUUCUAUUGAGAUGACCUCUGCAUACAAGAUAUCAGAGUAUCUAGACAUUUAUAUUUUAUGUAUUUAUUUUUUAGGGCCGCACAUCUGUAGCAUGUGAAAAUUCCUGGGCUAGGGUGUGAAUCGGAGCUGCAGCUGCUGGCCUAUGCCACGGUCACAGCAACACCAGCACCGAGCCACAUCUGCAACCUAUGUUGCCACUUGCAGUAACACUGGAUCCUUAAUCCCUGAGAGAGGCCAGGUAUGGAACUUGCAUCCUCGUGGAUACUGGUUGAGUUCUUAACCUACUGAGCCACAAUGGGGAACUCCUAGACAUUUAUACUUCAGACACAAAAGAAAAUACAAUUUCGUAGUCUAAACUGAAAAGAAAGUUUGUACUUUAGAUUGUUCACUGUUGUAUAGAGAAACAGUGUGGUACUUACUAAAUUUUUCACUAGUUGACCACUUGGUUGGCAUCAUAGGGAGCCAAAAAUAGCAAAAACAUUGACUUUAAAAUCAUUACAUCCAGAUUACAAUCAAACUCAACUACUUAAUGGAUGUGUGAGUUUGAAAAUCGUUUAACCUGUUUAAGCCUCAGUUUUCCAGAUCAGUUUGAACAGUAAUAGUACCUAUCCCACAGAAUUAUCUUUGGAUAUAUGAGAUAAUGCAUAUAAAGCCCUUUCACUGUGCCUGGCCUGUAUUAAGCCUGUCAAAUUGUACAUGACAUCAAGAACUGCUGAGCAUCCUACUUGUAGAAGCAGGCUUCUUUAACAUCUAUAAUAGGGAUAUAUUAAUCCCAGAAGGUAAAUUACAUAUCAAGCACUGCUAUAAAAUGUGGAAGGGGUAAGUUCACAUAUAACAUUAUCAUGCUACUUGGCUGGAUUAAAAAAAUGCAGUGUUUGGAAAUUCCUCAGUUAUCAAGGCUUUGGGCAGCAUAGGCAAUCACUAGUGAACAACCAGAUAUUCAGAAAAACCCAAUUAACAAGUUUAUGCAAAGAUCUCCAGGGGAAAGAAAUGAAUUUAAGCACAAAUCAUGUUAAAGACGUUCUACAUAUACUGUGUGUUUGCUAAUUGACUGGACUGAAAUUAUUCUAGCUCUGCUCCUAUGAGGCCAGCAGCCAAGUUAAAAGCUUCAGGAAAUUUCACAAAACGUAUAUUGUGAUGUCUUUGGGAAAAAACAAAUCAGAAAAUCUGGCAGACGCAAGGUUAUAUUGGAGCGGGUCUGAGUGUGGCUGCCCCCUUUUAAAUGGGGCAUUCAGCCUCCAACAACCACUGCCCUCAUCAUUCAUAGUGUUGCACAUGCACUCAAACCAUGCAGGACUCACCCUUUUGUAGGAACCUCUCAGCCCUUGCAGGCAUUUGAGGAUUAGAGCUACUUUAGAGCUUAUAUAAAUAUCAUCAUGUGUAAAUGUCCUUUGGCUCCACCUUUCCUCUCCAUGCAUAGUGGGAUUGAUUUCUAGAGAAUGCCAGGAUUACAGCUCUUUUAGCUCCUGUAGGUCUCUGCACUUCCAUUCCAACUUCUUUAACCCUUUAUCACAUUCUCCAAUAGACUAAAGACUCCUAAUGAGCAACAGCCAUAUUUCUGACUCACAACAUCAUAGCACCUUGUACAGUAAUUAGUUCUGCAAAGUUAGCGAAUAACUAGUAUGGAAUGGCCAACGGAAGGAAUAGGAACUAGCAGAACGCAGGGUGAUUAGAUAUUGGACCUUUUGGUGAUAGCUGUGAGACUUUAUAGAAAGUCAUUCAUCCUCCUGGUCUUAUUUUAGAUAUAAUAUAAAGGUUAGAUUUAGUCUCUCCCAAUUCUCAAAUUUUGGAGUCAAUGGAAUACCUAAACUCCCUUGUUCAUUUUAUCCAUAUUUUAAGCUCAACUUUUCUAACUUGCUGUAAGCUACUAAAGUCUGUGACACCAGGGAGUUCCUGUUGUGGCUCAGCAGGCUAAGGACCCGAUGUUGUCUCUGUGAGGAUGUGGAUUUGAUCCCUGGCCUUGUUCAGUGGGUUAAGGAUCCUGAGUUGCCACAAGCUGCGGUGUGGUUCACAGUUGUAGCUGGGAUCCGGUGUUGCCAUAACUGUGGAGUAGACCAGCAACUGCAGUGCAGUCAACCCCUAGCCCAGGAACUUCCAUAUGCCAGAGGUGCAGCCAUAAAAAGAAAAAAAAAA
rnacentral:lncRNA from 1 species